AUAUUUUCUAAGUUUUAUAAAUAUAUGUAUUUUAUGCUAUAGUAAAUUAGAACUAGAAAAGUCAUAUGCUUAGCUUUACCUUUCAUUCAUAUAAUUCUCUUAAGACAUUACAACCUUGACUCUUAAACCCACUUCCAUCCAGAACUCUCUUUAAUCUCAGGGUUCCAAGUCCCAAUCACUCUUAGGCCUUAGAGGGCUCUAUUGUAUUUUUCUGUGGCUAGUAAAUAAACUAAGAGCAUGUAAAUUUCUGCAGAACUUUUAAAAACCAGCCUUGAAAGUAAUGUCUUUCACUUCUGUCCAUGUUUCACUGGCCAGAACACAACCAUAUGGUCCCACAUAACUGCCAAGGGCCAAAGAAAUGUUUGCAUUUCAAAAGAAGAGAAAUAACAUGGAUAUUGGUGAGAAACAAUAUUCUCUGCCACAAUAUUUUUAAAAAUGUUUUCUAGCACAGGAUGUAUCACAAAACUGGAUUUUGUUACGUCCCUUAGGAACUCACUAAGACAAACAAUGGUUUUUACUUAAACAACUUUAAUCUUAUCAAACACAUAGCUAGACUUCGUGCCAAUCCUUUCAUAAACUUAACCCUGAGUACAUCUUUGUCCUAAAUCUCUCCCACUGAAAAUAGGGAAAAAAGUCCUCUACCACUGUCUAUCCAUGGGCCUUCUUUACAAUAAUAAUGCAGGAUUUCCUCUGAUAAACUGUACCAUGCAUUUAUAGUGCUUUUUAUUUUUAUUAUUUUGGACUAAUGGUUGGUUAUUCACUGUGGAAAUGACUGUUUUUGAUGGUUUGUUACUCUGAAUUUUAUCUAACAGCAAACAUGUAACUAUCUUGAUGAUGCGUAGGCCAUGUGCUCAAAGCAUGAAGUAACAGAAGAUGAAAGGACCAGGGAUGCUGUUGCCACCUACGGCCUGCGGAUGUUGUUUGAAAAGCACAGGUCUAGGCCUAAAUCCAUUCUUUUCAUGUCACAUCCUGACAGCAAUGGAGGGUAUUAUGCUGAGUGAAGUAAGUCAAUCGGAGGACAAACAGUGUAUGUUCUCAUUCAUUUGGGGAGUAUAAAUANUUAUUUAAAAAAAUAAUAAAAAAAUAAAGACUCC
rnacentral:lncRNA from 1 species